rnacentral:rRNA from 1 species
UCGAGAAUCUUCCACAAUGGACGAAAGUCUGAUGGAGCGACGCCGCGUGAGUGAUGAAGGCCCUACGGGUUGUAAAACUCUGUCAGGAGAGAAGAAUCGCCGGGGUGCCAAUACCAUCCUGGUUUGACGUUAUCUCCAGAGGAAGCUCCGGCUAACUCCGUGCCAGCAGCCGCGGUAAUACGGGGGGAGCAAGCGUUGUCCGGAAUUAUUGGGCGUAAAGGGCGUGUAGGCGGCUUGGUCAGUCGAAUG